GUUUCAUGAAGGAGCAUAAUCAUGAAAUUUGCCAGGAUGACUUUUAUUACUCUGUCAAGGGUAGGAGCAAGAAAUCAGCCGGUGUUGUUUACCAGAAAAAAGGACUGCAGCUAGCGUUGGAUGAGGGGGAUGUAGAACUGCUGCUUGAUACUUUAGCACUUAUGCAAGCUGAGAGACCUAAUUCUUACUAUGCUAUAGACUUUGACAAAGAAAAACGUAUGAGAAA
rnacentral:misc_RNA from 1 species